CCCGCGCCUCGCCCCUCGCCAUGGGGCCGCGGCACCUGCUGCUGCCGCUGCUCCUGCUCUCCCUGCAGCUCCUGGCCCUGCUGCUGCCGCUGCCCGCGCAGGCGGCCGGGCCCCCCCGCGCCAAGGGCAACCGGACCCAGGGGGCGGCGGCGGCGCGGCGGACCCCCAAGCCGGGCAAGGAGCUCCUGAACCAGACGCUGGCGGGCCCGGGGGCCGCCGCCCCCACGGCGCUGCCCGGGCGCAGCAAGGGCGCGGGGGGCGGCAAGGCAGCCCCCGGAGGCGGGGGCGGCGGCGGGAGCUCGGCCCCGGCGCACGAGACGUGCUGGGGGUACUACGACGUGAGCGGGCAGUGGGACAAGGAGUUCGAGUGCAACAACAGCCUCACGGGCUUCCGCUACUGCUGCGGCACCUGCUUCUACCGCUUCUGCUGCAACAAGCGCGCCGAGAAGCUCAACCAGAGCCUGUGCCGCAACUACAAGAGCCCUGAGUGGGCCCACCCCACCACGGCCAGCGGUGCCCUGCCCGCCGACGGCGGCGACGGCAGCGAUGGGGACGCCAACAAGUACGACCCGGACAAGGACAGCACCAACGCCACCGUCUACAUCUCGUGCGGGGCCAUCGCCUUCGUGCUCAUCGCCGGCGUCUUCGCCAAGGUGGCCUACGACAAGGCGCGGCGCCCGCCCCGGGAGAUGAACAUUCACAGGGCUCUGGCUGACAUCCUAAGGCAGCAGGGACCAAUCCCAAUUGGACACUGUGAAAGAGAGACUAUCUCGGCCAUAGAUACCUCCCCCAAAGAGAGCACCCCAGUCAGGACCUCCUCCAAAAACCAUUACACGCCCGUGCGCACCGCCAAGAGCAACCCAGGUCACUAUGGAAAGGAUAUUUAUCGCAGUGGAGGGCCAGAUCUCCAUAAUUUCAUCUCCUCUGGGUUUGUCACGUUAGGAAGAGGACACACGAAGGAUGACCAAGAACAAAAUUAUAAUCACCUGAUACUAAACAGUGACACCCAGACACCUACACAUGACAAGCCACGAAUGAACAACAUCCUCACUUCAGCCACCGAGCCCUACGACCUGUCCUUCUCCCGCUCCUUCCAGAACCUCUCCCACCUCCCGCCGUCCUAUGAGUCUGCAGUCAAGACCAACCCCAGUAAAUAUUCAUCUCUGAAGAGACUCACUGACAAAGAGGCUGACGAGUACUACAUGAGGAGGAGACACCUGCCCGACCUGGCAGCCCGGGGCACACUGCCCAUCAACGUCAUCAAAAUGUCUCAGCAGGGCAACCACCGGGACAGGCCCCGCCGUCCCAUCAGGGCCAUGUCCCAGGACAGGGUGCUGUCCCCUGAGAGGAUCAUGCCUGAGGAGUUCAGCAUGUCCUACGAGCGGAUUCUCUCAGACGAGCAGCUCCUGUCAGCGGAGCGCCUGCACUCCCAGGACCCGCUGCUGUCCCCGGAGCGCUCGGGGUACCCCGAGCAGUCCAUGUCCAGGGCAUUGUCACACACGGAUGUCUUUGUGUCAACACCAGUCUUGGAUCGCUACAGGAUGUCAAAAAUGCACUCCCAUCCCAGUGCCUCAAAUAACUUGUACAAUACCUUGAGUAUGAACCCGACCUCGGCCAAGCGCCAAGCGUUCGCCUCGCGCCGGCACAACACGGUGGAACAGCUGCAUUACAUCCCCGGCCACCACCACCACUACCGCACCGCCAGCAAAACCGAGGUGACUGUUUGACACGACCCAGUGCAUUGUAGAUACUCCUUAAGGACUGGGGUGGCCACAGCACCCUGUUCUGCAGUGGCCUUAUAGGCCAAGAUAACCUCUACUAACUCAGUGUCUGCAAAGACUUCUCUGACAGUCCCGCCCACGUUGUUUUUAAAGCCACCCCUUCAUCAGUGACACAGGAAGAACUGAAGCAGCAGUCAGACACUAGUGAGGGAUAACAGAGGAAAUUUCCUGAUGUGCAUCAGUUUCUGUCAAAGAAAGCCAUAGUAAUCGAUGGCUCCUUCCAAGGGCUCACCUGCAUUAUCCCAUAGUUUCCAUGAAUUCAGGACUUUUCAGUUGCUCCAAGGAGAAGCAGCCUGAGACAGGGAGGAGGAAAUGCAGCCCCCCCCCGCAUCCUGGCAGGAAGGGGCCUCAUUCUUCGUCCUCAUGUUUGGCCUUUCUGUAGCAAGUAGGGAAGUUCUGGCUGCUGGGGUCACCCCCAGGCUGCUCGACACCCAUCAGCCUCCAUGCAUCUGUUCUUUGUCACCCUUGGAGCAAAUUCAAGGGCAGACUUUCCUACGGGACUGGCAGAUCUAAGGACAAGAAUAGCCUGGCUGAGAAAUAAAGUUUUAGUUUAUACUAAAUAUACUCAUAAGAUAAAAACAUACUAGUGCCUACAAAUCGCCUGCUCUCUCAGUGUAGGAAGUAGUGGGGUUGAUGUGUUCAAUAAGCACAAAUAUGCUGAAAUGCUUGUUAGACCCUUUCCUCCACUCAUUCUAGUAUCUUGGUGUCUCCAACAUGUAAAUAGGAAGGAGGAAGAGGGUUUCUCUUCCUCCAGCUUCUUGCCACUGCUGAACCUAAAGCACCAGAACCCAUUCAGCUCCACACUGCUGGCCUGUGCUGGGGGAGGUCCUGACCCCACUGAGACCCUGUGAGGCAGGGGUCUGUCACCGAGCCUGGAUUUCUCCCCAGAAGUUUCUUUUCCUGAUAGCAUUUUCCAUGGCCCAGUUCCCCUGUUUCUCCUCCCAUUUACAGCCUAGAGCUCCAUAUGUAGCAAAUCUUUUUCCAGCCCUUAGCAGAGGCACAAAGCUGAGGGUGUCUGUUUACCGAAAUGCAGGUCGGUAACUUUCCGUGGUUUUCUCUCCCUGCAAUGGCCUCCCAAGAAAACCUUCCAAAUUCCAAUUCCACUGAGUCCCAAUCCUAAUCAUGAUGACAGUUACAUUUCAUGCAUAUAAAUUAUAUAUCCAGCAUAAUUAUAAUUAAUGGGCAUGUUGUAUAUCUGAUAUAACGCUAAUUAGAUACUGUAUAUUUGUAAAAUCUUUAAAACAUAGACUCGUGGGUCCAGAAUUUGUGAGGGUUUUAUCUUUGGCUUUCCAGACAGAUUGGGCUUUGCUUUGAUUUUUUGUUAGAUUUGGGUUUUCUUUUAUUUUCUCUUUUUUUUUUUUUCUUUUUUUUUUAAUUUAUGCUCCUACCAAAUUCUGUAGAACCGACUCCCACCAGAACACACUUCUGUGGCCAGGAAAGGGUCUCAGGGGGCUUGAAGGCCAGCCAGACCUGGUGCUGGAGCUGUGGGUGCUAGACACUGUCCCUGGAGUGCCCUUGAGGCCCCAGCACACACACACACCUGGUGAGAUGACGACUGACUUCAGGCUGUGAGCGCAUCCCUGUGCACUUCUCUUCGUGUUCCAUGUUCCCACACCAACUCUUUUCCUGCAUGGCUCCUCAUUAGGCUUCACUGAACUUUGCUCUGCCCUCCUCCCUCCCCUCAGAUACCUCCUGGCCUUAAUGACAUUCCCAGCCCAGCUGUGUCAAGUCCUGUAGCAAACACUGAUGGUAGGGCAUGGGCGUGAGUCUCCUGUGGAGGCUUUGGUGCAGGGUAGGCAGCAGGAACACGUGUCCUUACCCCAGUGGGACAUACAGGUGGGCUCAGUGGGGUGUCCAGGUGGCCUUUCUCUUUCCAGACUGUCCUGGAGCUGGUCCUAUUUCCAGAGCUUUAUGCUGCCCCAUCUGAUGAAGACUGUUGAGAAGGACUCCAUCAGUGAGAGGUUACUGGGGCUUUGUUUGACGGAAACUGAGCUGGGAGGGAGCAAACAAAUAACGGUCUCCAGGGUCAGAUCCUGCAGCCCUGGGCAAAACCACUCUGGGCAACAACCAGAACUGUCUGUGGAUCAGGGUGGCAGUUCAUGGCAUGGGAGGGAUGAGGCAGAACAGGCUCACACCUCAUCUCCUGCCCCCUCCCUUGAUGGACACUACUCUCCCCUGACUACCUCCAAGCUCCUCGGCUCAGCCCCUGGAUUUUUCCUCCCAGAAGACAAUCCCUGUGAGAACAUUGCCCUUGCUGACCUUCCCACAGGCCAAAGUGUGGGACUCCUGUGAAGAGAAACUGAUGGCUGAUGGAGAGGCAGCCCCUGCUGAGGUUCUGGGGCUCUUCCUGGCCCAAGCACAGCCAGGGAGAUCUGAACUGUGGCAGAGCAGAGUCCACUGUAGAGUCUGAAGGAGCUGUGGUGGCAGAGUUGGAGAAGAGGUGACGGUGAGAGGCUGUGGGUAGGUGAACACUCCUCUCUUUCCAUGUCCAUAGCUGUGUGUCUCAAGCUCUAGUCCUCAUCUCAGUGUUCCAUUUGUGAACUAAGAAGUUGCUGGACCAUAUGAAAAUUUGGAAACUUUUUGUUUGAGUAGCCCAUGCUGAUGCUGAGCUGUGCCUGGGCAAUUUGACCUCUGUGUCUUCUGUUCUGGCUAACAAAUAUCACAGGCCCUCUGCUGACAUGUCCUACCUGGGCAAGAAUCCUCCAGAGAAAUCUUAGCCUCAUUUCCUUCUCUUUUUUCCACCCACUCAACUGUUUCAAGCAGAUGUGUCCCACAAGGAGCUUUUUUAGGGCAAAUCUCUUCAGGGACUCUGCCACCACCACAGAAAAUUUUCAGCAAAUUUCCUUGGGAAGGAACCGUGCCCUGGAUACCACCUGGGCACCAUGUGUUCCCACAGCUCGCUCUGUGUGCUGGAAUGGCUUGGUGGGUGGGGCAGUGGCAUUUCAGCACACACAGGUGUCCUUAGGUCAUUUUUUUUCUCUUAUUCCUCCUCAUGAGAAUUUGUCACUGGAAGAACACUUGGUCUGGGACCGAGUGCCAUGACCCACAGCCUGGUCCCCAGCCCUUCAGCUCCCCAUGGUCCUCAUGUGAUGAUAAUGGGAAUUUCCAGCUCUGUGGAGGGAUCAGACCAUAAUGUCGGUGAAAGUGCUCUGAGACCCUCUCACCACAGAAACUGUAGAGCAGCAAAGUGUUUUUGUUAAUCUUGUUUGUCAUUGUCCCGACACAUCGUGUGUGAUGUGUCUCAGUCCAAUGUCUGCCCAGAGCGAGAGAGCCGGGCUGGGAUUGCCCAGAUUGCCACUGCUCUCCUCCUGGUCAGGGUCCUGGCAGGCAGCAGCUCCAAGGGAUGCUGUUCCCUGCACUAGGACCCUCCUGCUUCCCUCUCCUCAUGUCUGAGUCACCACAACACCCUGCACUCAGGAGAAAAGUGGGAAGCAGCCACAUUCCUCUGUACAGUAAAAUAGAACCUGCCUUGAUUAAUCUCAUAUUCUCUGAAGAAUUGAUCUGUAUUUUCUCCACCCACAGGUGCAAACAAACACCUGAGGAGCAUCCAGUUCCCAGAGUGCAUGUGCAGGGACUGGGGGAGGGGGAUGUAGAAAAGUUUAUAUUAUUUCCUACAAGCUGAUAAUUAUUUGCAUUCCCUGAGCAGCAACACAUCCUGGAUGGCUGCACUGGGUUUUUUUACAGUUCUCUGUGUAUGUGUAUAUAGAUACAAAUAUAUAUAUACAUACAUACUGCAAAAUGCAAUCAACACGUUCUGACUGAACCUGUACCAACUGAAGCUUCCAAACUGUGUUGAAUCAUUCUUUGAAACGUGGAAAACUAUUUUUAAUGAAUCACACACAGCACCACACGGAACAGGAACUUUGUCAUAAAAAGCCUUCUAAUGCCAGUGAAUCAUGUUUUAAGGAAAAAAAAAAAAAAAGAAAUAUUUUUCAAUGUUUUAAUGCUCCUUUUAUAAAUGAUGAUCUGUUACUUGGGGAUGGGGGUGGGUGGGAAGAGACACAGACAGUUGUCCGGGAGUAAGCCCUCCUUCCCUGGCUUGGAUUUAAUUUAUGUCUGCUGAGCCUGGCUGGCUGCAAAGCUGCUCCCAGGAACCUGAGCUUCCCACAUGCACAUUUAUGUUCUAUCAGAAGCAUUCCCACCAGGAAUCUGCAGGAGUUUGGCAUCAGCUUUUGGUAAGAGAUAUUUAGUUCCUGGUAACUGGGAAGACAUCCUUGUCUUCUUCCACCACAAAAACAAAAUCGCCAUGAAACAGGUUAAUUUUAAUUGUGUUUGAAAUACAAAUUCUGUUUGGGAUCAAUUUGCCAUCUCUAGCUCAUGCAGAAAUAGCUUGUCUUAGUUUAGUUUCAGAUUUAGUGCUUCAUAUGGAAGGAGGGGCUCUACUGAAAUACCUUUAGCACAAGCAGAUUUUGUGUUCAGGUGUAUUUCAGCUGAGUGAAAGAAAGGAAAUGUGUGAGGAAGGGGCUUCAAUAUUUUCCUAGCGAGUGUUGUUAGCAAUAAGCCCGUGUUGGGGCUGCUCCUUGGGGAACAGCCACUUGUGUGCUGUGUCCACAGGCAGGUGGGAGAAGGGACUGUUCCCAGCUGUCUCAGUGCUGACAGGUGCCCUCCCCAACCCAAAUCCCAGCUGGGAAAAGCCAGCUGUGCUUCACCCAAGGGCCAGGGCAGAGUUGGACGGGGCUGUUCCGAGUGUGUCGGUGUUAAUGGAAGAGAUCUCUGCUCCAGCACCCCGGCUCUCCACCGUGGCCACACCAUCCCAGGAGAUCUCUCCAUCCCAGGAGGUCUCUCUCCAUCCCAAGUGAUCUCUCACCAUCCCCAGGAGGUCUCUCUCCAUCCCAGGAGAUCUCUCCAUCCCAGGAGGUCUCUCUCCAUCCCAGGAGGUCUCUCUCCAUCCCAGGAGGUCUCUCUCCAUCCCGGGAGGUCUCCACCCCACCCCACUGCCAGGAGGAGCUGCUCCCCCUGCCCCUCUGCUCCGCCGCCACUCCCCGCCGCCUGCAAACCCCUGAGACAAUUUUGUAGCAAGAGUUUCUUGGCUCUGAGAAAGACACUUCUUACUGUAAUAUUUUUAGUUUGGGGGACAAUAUUUCCUAAGAGGGGUUAAGUGGAUAUUUUUGUGCUUUAGCCCAGUUUAUGGAUUCCAUGUUUAUUAUACAGUAGUACUGAAGAGGAAGUACAUUUGUAUCUGUAACUUUGCACAGACUCUUGGUUAACCAUUAAACAAGCUUCAAGAUGAGCAGUAUUUGACUGUUUUUCUCUGUAUUAUUCUUGUUGUUAUACUUACCUGUAAAAGCACAUUCUGUAUGUACUGUAAACAAAAAUAUUAUCAGUUUAGUAAAAUUUAGAGUCUUAAGGAUUUUUCCACUUUUGUCAGUAACAACUAUUUAUGGAUUAAAAAAUAAAGGCAAUUUCAACAUAUAAAUUGUUUCUUUUUGAUAUCUAUUGGGGGGAAAUAAAAGCCAUUUUGUUGGCAGCCUUCCCAAUCUUUGUAACCAGCGUUUGAAAGGUAGAUAUCUGUGAUUCUGUGUGUAGUUAAAUAGCAUCUAUUAAAAUGAAUGCUGCAAGGUC